GUCUAUGGUAUAGUAGAAAGUACACUAGGGCGUAAACCAAGAAGCGUGGGUUCGAGUCCCACCAUAUACC
rnacentral:tRNA from 1 species